rnacentral:piRNA from 1 species
UGAUAUGUGUCACACCAAAGUCACAGAACAU